CAUGUUGGGGACUUAUUUGGUGCCACAUUUUUGGGGCCACAUUGCUGGGGACUUAUUUGGUGCCCCCCAAUUGUCGCCUCCCCUCUUGGUAUCACCUGUUGGUGACUUAUUUGCUGCCCCCCUGUUGGUGCCACCCUGCUGGUGACACAUUUGGUGCCCCCCUAUUCGUAUCACCCUGUUGGUGACACAUUUGGUGCCCCCUUAUUGGUGUCACAUUCUUGGUGACUUAUUUGAUGCCCCUCUGUUGGUGCCACAUUGCUGGGGACAUAUUUGGUGCCCCUCUUUUGGUAUCACCCUGUUGGUGACACAUUUGGUGCCCCCCACCCCAUUGGAGCCACAUUGUUGGUGACUUAUUUGGUGCCCCUCUGUUGGUGCCACAUUGCUGGGGACUUAUUUGGUGCCACCCUCCUGGUAUCACUGUGUUGGUGACUUAUUUGGUGCCACAUUUUUGGGGUCACAUUGCUGGGGACUUAUUUGAUGCCCCCCUGUUGUCGCCCUCCCCUCUUGGUAUCACCCUGUUGGUGACACAUUUGGUGCCCCCCUGUAGGUGUCACAUUCUUGGUGACUUAUUUGGUGCCACCCUAUUGGUGCCACAUUGCUGGGGACUUAUUUGGUGCCCCCAUGUUGGUACCGCCCUGUUGGUGACUUAUUUGGUGCCACAUUUUUGGGGUCACAUUGCUGGGGACUUAUUUGAUGCCCCCCUGUUGUCGCCCCCCCUCUUGGUAUCACCCUGUUGGUGACAUAUUUGGUGCCCCCCACCCCGUUGGAACCACAUUGCUGGGGACUUAUUUGGUGCCCCCCCUCCUGGUAUCAACCUGUUGGUGACUUAUUUGGUGCCCCCCUGUUGGUGCCACAUGGCUGGGGACACAUUUGGUGCCACAUUUUUGGUGCCACAUUGCUGGGGACAUAUUUGGUGCCCCUCUUUUGGUAUCACCCCGUUGGUGACAUAUUUGCUGCCCCCCCCGCCCCCGUUGGUGCCUCAUUGCUGGGGACUUAUUUGGCGCCCCUCUGUUGGUGCCACAUUCCUGGUGACUUAUUUGGUGCUGCUGUCAACCACCACAUCCGCCCCAUUUGGGGACGAUGCAGCCGGGUGACAUUCCUGGUGACAUUCCUGGUGACAUUCCUGGUGCCAUUCCUGGUGCCUGCCAUUUCCGGCGCCAUUUCCGGCGCCAUUUCCGGUGCCGUUCCUGGGUGUCGCUCCCAGCUGUGCCAUCAGAGCCCAAUGGGGCUGAAUGGGGGCCCCCUAUGGGACCGGGUUUUUUUUUUGGGGGGGGUGGGGGACCCCUUG
rnacentral:lncRNA from 1 species